rnacentral:misc_RNA from 1 species
AACGCACCUUGCGCCUUUUGGUAUUCCGAAAGGCACACCUGUUUGAGUGUCAUGAAUUCCUCAACCUAUACAUUUUUUAAGUAAUUUGUAUGUGGUUUGGAUGUUGAAUGUUGCUGGUAUUCUAUCAGCUCAUUUUAAAUACAUUAGCCCUCUCCUUUAUUCUUUGGAUUGACUUGGCGUGAUAAAUAUUCGUCAAGGAUGCCUUUAAUGGCAGCCAAUAAUAUUAGGGUAGCUUCAAAACUGCCUUGCGCACUUUUUAUUUAGACCUCAAAUCAGGUGGGACUACCCGCUGAACUUAA